rnacentral:rRNA from 1 species
GAUGAACGCUGGCGGCGUGCCUAAUACAUGCAAGUCGAGCGAACAGACGAGGAGCUUGCUCCUCUGACGUUAGCGGCGGACGGGUGAGUAACACGUGGAUAACCUACCUAUAAGACUGGGAUAACUUCGGGAAACCGGAGCUAAUACCGGAUAAUAUAUUGAACCGCAUGGUUCAAUAGUGAAAGACGGUUUUGCUGUCACUUAUAGAUGGAUCCGCGCCGCAUUAGCUAGUUGGUAAGGUAACGGCUUACCAAGGCGACGAUGCGUAGCCGACCUGAGAGGGUGGUCGGCCACACUGGAGCUGAGACACGGUCCAGACUCCUACGGGAGGCAGCAGUAGGUAAUCUUCCGCAAUGGGCGAAAGCCUGACGGAGCAACGCCGCGUGAGUGAUGAAGGUCUUCGGAUCGUAAAACUCUGUUAUUAGGGAAGAACAAAUGUGUAAGUAACUAUGCACGUCUUGACGGUACCUAAUCAGAAAGCCACGGCUAACUACGUG